CGAGUGGAUUCCUUAUCCUGAUGUACAAAUGUGACGUCCUCCAGACUUGACUUACAGUACACGAAUCUGACUUUACGUAAAAACCUCCCAUGGAUCCUAUAAUAAAAUUCAGUAAGGUUUAAGGUAUGAAGAGUCCCUGUGCCUUAGAAAAUGACAGAAUGGCACUGGAGUAUGACAGCAGACCUUUAGGUGAGACAAGCACCAAAACCAUGAGCAAUACAGGAG